rnacentral:rRNA from 1 species
AUUGAACGCUGGCGGCAGGUCUAACACAUGCAAGUCGAACGAGUGGCGGACGUGUGAGUAAUGUCUGGGAAAAUGCCUGAUGGAGGGGGAUAACUACUGAAAACGGUCGCUAAUACCGCAUACCAUCAGAUGUGCCCAGAUGGGAUUAGCUAGUUGGUGGGGUAAAGGCUCACCAAGGCGACGUUCCCUAGCUGGUCUGAGAGGAUGACCAGCCACGCGGGAACUGAGACACGGUCCAGACUCCUACGGUGGGCAGCAGUGGGGAAUAUUGCGCAAUGGGCGCAAGUCUGAUGCAGCCAUGCCGAGUGUAUGAAGAAGGCCUUCGGGUUGUAAAGUACUGUCAGCGGGGAGGCGUUACCCGCAGAAGAAGCACCGGCUAACUCCGUGCCAGCAGCCGCGGUAAUUC